AGUAACACGUGGGCAACCUGCCUAUAAGACUGGGAUAACUUCGGGAAACCGGAGCUAAUACCGGAUAAUUCUUUUCUACACAUGUAGGAAAGCUAAAAGACGGUUUACGCUGUCACUUAUAGAUGGGCCCGCGGCGCAUUAGCUAGUUGGUGAGGUAACGGCUCACCAAGGCCACGAUGCGUAGCCGACCUGAGAGGGUGAUCGGCCACACUGGGACUGAGACACGGCCCAG
rnacentral:rRNA from 1 species